ACACGUUUGGCAUACGUACCUACAUCAAAUUACGAUAAUAAUCUAAAGUAAAAGUUGUUCCAGUACGGGAAGUGACCACUAAUUGUUUUAAUAUCGUUUGGACAAUGAAACCACAACCGUGUCUAAUAUUUUUUAGGGAAACAUGAAUUCGUUGUGCCCCUUUUGUUAUACUUCGUUGCGUGCAAAAUUGUAAACAUUCUUUGUGCUCAAUCUUUACUCCACGCCAAUUUGGGUUUCGGUCUGGUACGUGCGCUGCCGAGGGAAUUAUCUUGUUUCGAACAAUGCUCGUGAGCCACGCGAAAACAAUUUUUGUAUGUCACGACACUGAUAAAUUAUCGACAAUGUAAUAUGGUAAGGUAAUGAAAUCCCACUCAAAUGGUGAGCCUCAAGGAAGCAAUUUGGGACUACUGUUAUUUUAAGCAACGUGCAAUUGACAAUGAGGCUUUUUAACGAGGUGUGCGAAUUCGACGUUCACCAAUCAUAUCAUCCUAGGUUUCUUCUACUAUGAUAAAUGGUUUAUUCGCAGCAGUUUGACGUAUAUUUUCGUUAAGAUCACGUCCGUGGUUGUAAAAGAACUGGUAUUCGGGAAGGAGGAGACUCGUAAGAUCCUAAUGGAUCAAUUUGAUCUUUCUUUAAAUGGCUUUGAGAAAUAGUCAAUUUCCGGCAAAAGUGAGAAUGAUCGUAAUAAGACUGUAAAGACAACGAUGGUACGGCCCGUCGAAAAGGUUUGUGUAUCAAUUGCUGGACCUUGUUUAGGGUGCCACGAACACCCUUUCCUGGUUUGCUAGAAAGAAGGCUUCCACAAAACAACAUCGGUCAAAACAGUAAUAUAGGCGUCAUGCGUUCUUUUCCGAGCAAACUUAAAAUGGUAAAAUAAAAAGAUAUUCGCUCCCUUAAGAGAAAGGGGGAAAACCAAAAUAUUUGUCAAUUUGAGAAUGGCCAUAUAUUUUUUUAGUUAAAAGAGUUACAAAAAAUAUGUAUUACAUAAGUUUCUUAAUAAUAAUUGUCGAAUAAUUUACCGUUUGCACAGUAAGUAAGAUAAAAAGUUAUACGACCUAACCUCUUUUUUAGUGCGUUUUUGAAAAAAGUAGCGCUUAGGUAUAUAUUCACUUUGGCUGUUCGGUUGGUCGGCUGCAAAGGUUUUUUAAGUAUAACUCUCGAAAAAAUUAUCGUAGAAUGGUCGUGUUUGGAGCAUUAGCUUUCUGCCACAAUCAUUUGCAUGCAUAUUAUAUUUCAAACUGUAGCAUGAAAUAAGUUUGCUAAUAAAACCUCGAUCCGUCGCACAAAGACGCCCUUAGGUAGCUCGACACGUUGAGUACUUUCCAACUUGUUUUAAUAGAACGCCCUGCGUAUUUUACGCUAAAAACGCAGCACAUUAAAUUCUAUUGUUAAAAAUAUAACAAGAAAAAAUUUAAAAAAAUGAA